UUAACUUUAUAUUUUAAGACCCGAACUGUACACCAUACACGCAGUUUUUUCCUGUGACGUCACAAUUUUACGUCAUUGAAAACUUGUCAUAUGAUUUCGUGAAACUUCCGUCGAAAAAUAAAUAUCAUUUUUCAUCAACAAUAGCGUUUGGAUGGCAAAGAUAAGACAUCCAUGAUUUACACACCAAUGGUCAUAUGAUGAUAUAUCUAAUGUUCAGCUGUGUCUUGUAUUAAGAUGAUACAAGCCACAUUACCAAACCAUGCUGAUGGAACAAACAACGAUAUGAAGGGCGUUGCAUUUCGAAACCCGUUGUGCAUUUCUGAUUUCGGGAUCUACAAGUAAAUAUCAACAUGGCAACAGAUUCUACAACGUUCGUAUUUUGUGCGCAGAAUAUCCAGAAUAGGUCCCAAUUGUCACUCUCAGGGAGAAGGGAAGCAACAGUGUUAACCAUGCUAGCGAUCUGAGUAAUUCAAGUAUACAAGUAUACGAACAAUUACAGGCCAAAUUGUGCACCAAGACUGUAGAAGGGAUUUUAUUCACAAUAGAAACAUUUCAAAUAGCUCCAAUGUUAAGUGUAACCAAGUUAAAAGACCUUUAAGAUCAAAUGCUAACUUUGCUUUAAAGUGUAAUCGCUUGUUCUGUGGUAAGCCUGCUAAAGUUGCAUAUGGUAAACGUAGAUGUUCAUCCUUGUAGAAGUUUUGAUUUUCAGGAAACACAUCGUCGGAACCCACGGUACACAUUCCGUAUAUACUACAUUUAAUAUUAUUACCGAUACAUGUAUACGGUAAAUAGCCUGGGUUACCGAGGAUGCAGGAAACAAUACAACUCAAAUGUUCUGAGAGAAACAAUCUGUUGGGAAAUGUUGUUUUAAACAGACUGUUGUCAGUUUUGGAUUUUCGUCAGAUUCGAAGAAUGUGUAUUUCAGAUCAGACAAUGAAAACCCAAAUAGUUUGGCAUAUGUAUUCAAAAGACACCAAAACGUGAUUGGAAUAGAGAUUUGUUAUCUCCUACCAUUCCUGCAGGCUUUCUCUGGUUGCGACAGUUCUUAAAAUAAUGUGUAAAAAUGAAGUGUUCCGGCAAAAUGCUGCAAUAUUUCAUUCUUCAACAAACAAAGAAGAAAUUAUUACAGGUGGUGAAAAUGCCAUGAGGAUAUUAUCUGAUGGAGUUAGGGAGAUAAAUUUGAGCAGACUGAGAUUUCACAAAUUUGUAAGUAAAACCAUGUCAAGUUCAUCUGUUAUUCAAGUUCAAAGCAUUCCGCCUACGUCUGAUGCUGCGGCGCAACACUCUAUACCGUUAUAUUUUCAAACACAAACAUAGGUUGGAAAUGAUAAACUAGAUCCAGCUGAAUGGGGAUAGGAACUUCUCGAAGGACUCUUGUACCCACAAAAUCUACACAACCCGCUGCUCCAGAUUUUCUUUUAAAUAUUAUCAGAUGCAAUUGCAAAAAAUGCCACUCUUAGAGAUGUACCUGUCGCAAACAUGACCUCGAAUGUUCGGUUGGUUGUGGAGAAUGUCAUUGUAUUAGCUGUUCAAACUGUCGGUCCAUUUCAGAUAUUGAUUUUGCGGACAUGGAGGACUACAUCUUGUAUCGACACAAUGCUCUUAGAACUAAGUUUUUACCUGUUUUGUAUUGAAAUGUAUUCAUAUUUUGUGUUAUUAUUGGCAAUGUACAUGCAUCUGGCAUCUUGUUUUUACAUAAGCAAUAGAGGUUUCACUUUAAGUUAUUCAUAUAAAACUUUGCAGACAAAUAUGUUCUAUAUAUUGAACAGUCUCAUAUUCCUCGCGAAGUAAAUACAAUGUAGCUUUUAAUAAAAACAAAAGAUUUAUAAUAAUACUCUGUUUGCUUGCCAUAUGAAGUAGUUCUUUAAUUAGUAUUGUAGUUAUACUCUUUUAUCCAGUGUCAAAUUAUACUAAAAUUUAUGCACAAUAUUUUACAUAGGUGUCUAUCACAGAACAAUUAACUUGUACUAGCACCAAACUAUGCGCUAUAACUUAAAUGUAGUAAAAUGUUUGAAACAAUCUAACUCCAAAUGUACAAUAGUAUUGUAUAUUUAGAGUUAGAUUGUAUAUUGAAUACAUACUUAUCAAUGCUUUCUUAUAUUUGCUUGUGUUGC